rnacentral:rRNA from 1 species
CCUACGGGAGGCAGCAGUGGGGAAUAUUGCGCAAUGGGCGAAAGCCUGACGCAGCGACGCCGCGUGAGGGAUGAAGGUCUUCGGAUCGUAAACCUCUGUCAGCAGGGAAGAAAGGUCACUGUGCUAAUCAGCAGUGAAUUGACGGUACCUGCAAAGGAAGCACCGGCUAACUCCGUGCCAGCAGCCGCGGUAAUACGGAGGGUGCGAGCGUUAAUCGGAAUUACUGGGCGUAAAGCGCUCGUAGGCGGUAUGUCAAGUCAAGGGGGAAAUCCCCGCGCUCAACGUGGGAACUGCCUUUGAAACUGGCAAACUGGAGUGUGUGAGAGGAUAGUGGAAGUCCAGGUGUAGGAGUGAAAUCCGUAGAUAUCUGGAGGAACAUCAGUGGCGAAGGCGACUAUCUGGCACAUAACUGACGCUGAGGAGCGAAAGCGUGGGUAGCAAACAGGAUUAGAUACCCUGGUAGUC